rnacentral:tRNA from 1 species
GGAGAUGUAGCUCAGUGGUAGAGUGUUAGUCUAGUAUUCUUAAGAACUUGGAUUUGAUCCAUAGCACUUCA